rnacentral:rRNA from 1 species
GUGUACACAAGAUAGAGCUCAAAUCAAGUUUUCUUAAACUUUACAAUUAAAUCCACCUUCAAAAGCUAUUUUCAUAAACUUUAUCCGUUUUAAUCAUUUAAAUGUAACCCACCUCUGUCUUUUACAUAAGCUGCACCUUUACUUGAAGUCAAUGAUUUUAUCAUGAAUGAAAGUUUUCUAAAGAAACUGACUGACAACAGCGGUAUACAAACUGAAUACUAAUAAAAGUAAGUUUUAUCGUGGAUCAUCGUUUAUAGGGCAGGUUCCUCUAAGUGGCUAUCUUGCCGCCAAAUCCGUUAAAUUUCAUGAAUAUUACUGUUCCAAAAUUUUUUAAAUAUAAGUA